GGUCGCUUAGCUCAGCUGGGAGAGCACCCCCCUUACAAGGAGGGGGUCACUGGUUCGAACCCAGUAGCGACCACCA
rnacentral:tRNA from 1 species